rfam:Schistosoma rodhaini strain Burundi genome assembly, scaffold: SROB_scaffold0001466
AUCCAGCUGACCAGUCCCAAACGGGACGGAACGGGCAUCCUGGAU